UACGUAGGCAGCGAGCGUUGUUCGGAGUUACUGGGCGUAAAGGGUGUGUAGGCGGUUUUCUAAGUUUGGUGUGAAAUCUCCCGGCUCAACCGGGAGGGUGCGCCGAAAACUGGGAGACUAGAGUGCGGGAUGGGAGAGUAGAGUUCCUGGUGUAGCGGUGAAAUGCGUAGAUAUCAGGAGGAAUACCGGUGGGGUAGACGGCUCUCUGGACCGCCACUGACGCUGAGACACGAAAGCGUGGGUAGCAAACAGG
rnacentral:rRNA from 1 species